UACGGGGGGGGCAAGCGUUGUUCGGAAUUACUGGGCGUAAAGGGCGCGUAGGCGGCCUGCUAAGUCGGAUGUGAAAUCCCUCGGCUCAACCGAGGAACUGCAUCCGAUACUGGCGGGCUUGAAUCCGGGAGAGGGAUGUGGAAUUCCAGGUGUAGCGGUGAAAUGCGUAGAUAUCCGGAGGAACACCAGUGGCGAAAGCGGCCACCUGGACUGCACCUGACGCUGACACGCGAAAGCUAGGGGAGCGAACGGG
rnacentral:rRNA from 1 species